GUCAUUGUGUCCUUGACCUUUGACAUUUUGACCAAAAAUGAGUAUAUCUGAUAUAGUAUUUAUCAAGGUACAUCGACAUACAAUGUUUGAACAUUGAAGUGCCUAACUCAAUGCACUUGGCUUAAAUUGCCAGUUUUAUGUUUUCUUAUCACAGAAACCAGUGACUUUUAUCUUUUUUUUAACCAGGAAUAGUGUGGACUCAUCAAGGUGAAUAUGCAUAAAAAUUCCAAGAUUUGCUGCGAUGCCUGUUAAUAGCCUGCCAAAUAUAGAUAAAAUUCCUGAGAGUGAAACAAGAAAUGCAGCCUCCAGAGCCGUAAACCCUUUUGAGACGAUAAACGAUGGAAGGUGCAAGUACAUCAAUAUUGUCCCAAGGCAAAAGAAAAACAUUGCCAUACAUAAACAGAUAAUUGGUUUGUUGAAUAAUACACCGAAAUAAAUCUUCGAAGUCGCCCAG